CAGGAGCCGUAGCUGAGGCAGGUUCGUGGUCACGUGACGAGAGGAAGGGCGGACGUGAGGCGCACGCACAGCAGCAGGGGCGGCGCGACGGCGAUACGGAGACAUCUUUGUUGUGGGCGAAGUCGGCCAACCUCAGAAAUGCAUAAAGGGAAGAAAUGUGUAAAUGGAAAAAGUGCAGACAUCUAUUAAGAAGUCAAGAAAAAAAUUCCUCAUAAUCCCACAAUCAAGAAGAAUCACUACAAACAUUUUGGACACCAUUGACCUGCAACAAUCGAGGACUAUUGUUUCUGACAUGCUCAAUGGAUCUACUGCUAAUCUCCUUAACCAUCUACUUCCUAAGCAGAACUUCCGUGAAGUUAGUAGAAGCUGCAGAGUUAUAUGGAAUUGAGCAUAAGAAAACACACAGUAAGCUAGGGAUGCUCAGAAAUCAACUGGCAGGGCUGGCCCAGUGGCGCAGCAGUUAAGUGCGCACAUUCUGCUUCAGCAGCCCAGAGUUUGCCGGUUUGGA